AAAGUGAGAGAGGGCAGUGCUUGCUUGAGCUCAUGUUCAGAAGGUGAAAGUGGAGAGAGAGAGAGAGAGAGUCAGAGAGGGAGUAUCGUAAGAGAAUGAGUAGAUCAAAUUGAGUACAAGUCAUUAGAUGAAACAGUUUGUGUGUUCUUAGAGUGUUUACGAUUAAGUUGCCUACAAUAAUUAUUUACAGUGAAUAUACUCGUACUAGGCUACAUUCUGCUUUUUUUAAAUAAUCCGUUUGUUGAGAAUUUUUAGAAAUGCGAUUAGUUAUUUUGGAUAAACCCAACGAUGUAGCUGAAUGGGCAGCCAAGUAUGUGAUGAAAAGAAUCAAAGAUUUCAAUCCCGGUCCUGAAAAAUUCUUCACGCUUGGUUUACCCACUGGUGGAACCCCUCUGGGCAUGUACAAAAAAUUGGCCGAAUAUUACAAAAAUGGAAAAAUUUCAUUCAAGUAUGUGAAGACCUUCAAUAUGGAUGAGUAUGUGGGUCUGCCACCCGAUCACGUUCAAAGCUACCACUACUACAUGUUUCAUAAUUUCUUCAAACACAUUGACAUAGACCCCAACAACGUUCAUAUACUUGAUGGCAAUGCCAGCGACCUGGAGAAAGAGUGUGAUGAUUAUGAACACAAGAUCAAAGAGGCUGGAGGAAUUAGGCUUUUUAUUGGAGGUAUUGGCCCAGACGGUCAUAUAGCCUUCAACGAGCCUGGAUCUUCACUGGUAUCUAGGACUCGGGUGAAAACGCUGGCUCACGAGACACUGGAAGCCAAUUGUCGUUUCUUCGAUAAUGACAUCACAAAAGUGCCCACUCAAGCACUCACUGUUGGAGUGCAGACUGUUCUCGAUGCAGAUGAUGUGCUAAUCCUGAUAACGGGCUCAGGCAAGGCAUUGGCACUCCACCACUGCAUCGAGCAGGGCGUCAACCACAUGUGGACUGCAUCAGCCUUCCAGCAACACAAGCACACCAUCAUGAUUUGUGACGAGGACGCCACUCAAGAGCUCAAGGUCAAAACUGUCAAGUAUUUCAAGAACUUGAACAAGAUACAUGAGAAACUCAUUGAGGAAUAUGAGAGUAAGAGAAAAUCAUCAAUUAUGCUCGAUAACUGUGCAAAAUGAACUGUGUGAGAAUGCUGACUUUGUGGGAUCUAACAAUUUUUCAUCCAUUUUCAUGAGUCUGAGAAAGCCCUGACCUCUCACAAAAACUGAGACUGCAAGACAAUAAUAUCACAAUUUAUUUUUCUUCAUCAAGGACAACAUAUAUAUAUAUUUUCUAUCUGUGAUUUGAACCAAAAUUCGACUAACCAAAAUACUUGAAUCAAAUAAUUUUCGCAUCAUAUGAUCUAUCAAAUGUUAUUUAUAUUUAAUCGAGUACAGUAUAAUUAUUAUAUAUUUUAUAUUUUAAUCAAGUACAAGAUAUUGUAUUGAGAAGGAACAUUAUAUUUUCAUAUUAUAACUUUAUAAGUAAAAUUUAGCUUUAUGUGGGGAGAAUGAGAGAUUCAUCUAUAUCAAAAAAUUGAUAUUUUUAUAAAAAAAUUUCAAUCAAUAUCUGAUAAUACUUAUGGAUAUUUUAUAAAUUGUUGUUUUAAUAAAAUUACAUUAUCCACUUUAA
rnacentral:misc_RNA from 1 species